UACGUAGGGGGCAAGCGUUGUCCGGAUUUAUUGGGCGUAAAGAGCGUGUAGGCGGCCAAGCAGGUCAGCUGUGAAAACUCGAGGCUCAACCUCGAGACGUCGGUUGAAACCGCUUGGCUAGAGUCCGGAAGAGGAGAGUGGAAUUCCCGGUGUAGAGGUGAAAUUCGUAGAUAUUGGGAAGAACACCGGUGGCGAAGGCGGCGACCUGGUCCGAUACUGACGCUGAGGCGCGAAAGCGUGGGGAGCAAACAGG
rnacentral:rRNA from 1 species